rnacentral:rRNA from 1 species
CCUACGGGAGGCAGCAGUGAGGAAUAUUGGUCAAUGGACGAGAGUCUGAACCAGCCAAGUAGCGUGAAGGAUGACUGCCCUAUGGGUUGUAAACUUCUUUUAUAAAGGAAUAAAACGAGGCACGUGUGCCUUUCUGCAUGUACUUUAUGAAUAAGGAUCGGCUAACUCCGUGCCAGCAGCCGCGGUAAUACGGAGGAUCCGAGCGUUAUCCGGAUUUAUUGGGUUUAAAGGGAGCGUAGAUGGGUUGUUAAGUCAGUUGUGAAAGUUUGCGGCUCAACCGUAAAAUUGCAAUUGAUACUGGCAGUCUUGAGUACAGUUGAGGUAGGCGGAAUUCGUGGUGUAGCGGUGAAAUGCUUAGAUAUCACGAAGAACCCCGAUUGCGAAGGCAGCUUACUAAACUGUGACUGACAUUGCUGCUCGAAAGUGUGGGUAUCAAACAGGAUUAGAUACCCGUGUAGUC